UUAUCUAAGCCUCUGAUCAAUGUAGAAGUGGUAGCUCAUGUCAUGAGACCUGAGUUGCGGUCUAGCGAGGUUUCAAACAAUUUCUAUUUCACUUUCACUGUCCAACAAGAUUCACUGAAAAAUGGUGCACGAGUUAGGAAUGUCGUCCCUGGUACAGAGGAAGAAGCACGUCGUGUGAUUGAACGGAUGGAUGCUGAAAAUUCAUGAAGUCUUCUUGACUAGCAUCAAUUGGCAGAUAAAGGACUGAGGAUACCUGAUUUUGGGUUUCAAACUCCCAGAAAAGCAAAGAUGUCACAGUUAUUUUAAGCAGAGAUACUUAGAGCCUGUUUGGCUCAGCUUAAA
rnacentral:misc_RNA from 1 species